rnacentral:rRNA from 1 species
GGUAAACGCUGGCGGCGUGCCUAAAACAUGCAAGUCGAACGGGAGCUUCGGCUCCAGUGGCAGACGGCUGAGUAACGCGUGGGUGACAUACCCGUUGGUGGGGAAUAACUGCCCGAAAGGGUGGCUAAUUCCGCAUACGCCUGUCGAUGCAUUUCGAUAGGGAAAGUCGCAAGACGCCGAUGGAGUGGCCCGCGUUCGAUUAGCUAGCUGGUGGGGUAACGGCCUACCAGGGCGACGAUCGAUAGCUGGCCUCAGAGGAUGAUCAGCCAGACUGGGACUGGGACACGGCCCAGACUCCUACGGGAGGCAGCAGUUAGGAAUUUUGGGCAAUGGGCGAAAGCCUGACCCAGCAACGCCGCGUGGGUGACGAAGGCCUUCGGGUUGUAAAGCCCUUUUCUGGGGGAAGAUGAUGACGGUACCCCAGGAAGAAGCACCGGCUAACUACGUGCCAGCCGCCGCCGUAACAC